GCCCAGGUCCGCCUCCGGGAAAAGAAACCCGCAGCUUCUCCGGUCCGCGUGUCCACGGGAAGAAGGGCCUGCGGCGCCCGGCCCCGCCUCCGCCGCCAAAGUCCGCCCCCCCGGAAUCAGCUCUGCAUUCAGAGCCUCAGUUCAACCAAGAUACCACAAAUCUGAGGUGACUAGAAAAAAGCAGCAUGACCCCACUUUACUUAGGACAUGUUACAAGAAUUGACACUUUUCCUGAAACGAGAGACUUCACCAAGUUUGGCUUUCCAUACCUACUCCCGUUUUAUCGAAGAUUUCUUUCCCUAUUGGUAGUGUUAGUUGCCCAAAGUAAAAUUCUUUCUCUGGGAAUAACUUGUUGGAAAAGCACUUGCUCCGAGGGAAGCCAGUUGCCAUUUCAGAAAGACACCUAAGCAGCUCUAGAGACUCACAUAACAAGGAACUGAGGCCUCCUGCCAACAUCCAUGUGAUUGAGCCAUGUUGGAAGUGGAUCCUCCAGCUCCAGCCAAGCAUUCAGAUGACUAAAGCCCCCACUCACAUCUUCGCUGCAACCUCAUUGGAGAUACUUAGCCAGAACCAUCCAGCUAAGCCAUAUCUGAAUUCCUAACCAGUAGCAAUUAUGAGAUAAAAUGAUCAUUGUUUUAAGGUGCUAAAUUUUGGAAUAAUAUGUAACCCAACAAUAGAUGAUAAAUAUACCCAAGAAGGAUUAAGAUUUUAAAAAAUAAGGACAUAUCUAGAAAUUAGAGGGAAAAAAAAACCUUACAAACACCAGACAGAACAAGCUACUUACAAAUAAACAAAAUCUGAUGAAAAUUUCUUAAUAGUAAUAAUGAAAGCUGUAAGUCAACAACAACAUUUGGAAAAGCAAAGAUUCAGUUUGCCAAUACAUCCUAUUUUCAAAAAUAAUGGAACUUAUUUUUCUUCUCUAAUUCUCUAUUUAUAUAAAAUUCUCUAAUUAUAUAAAAAUGGAAUAGAAUUUAAUCGUGACUACCCCGAAGAUCCUAGGGCAAGAUGAAGAAUACAGAAAAAUCUAUUUUACAAUAUUUAAGUGGAUGAGACAGAAUGAAUAAUUUGUAAUGAGUUGUGAAAUAAAAAUAAUUUCCACUUACAUAGCUCUGUAGUAAACUUUCUAAUAUAUAAUACAUCAUUCAACAAGUAUUUACUAAAACUUACCAUACCUAUGUACUUUAAAAAAACCUUUCAGCAAGUUUGUGGACUUUGAAGCCAUUCUUUAAAGAAUGAAGGUUCAGGGCCACUGGGGUGGCUCAGUUAAGCACCAGAUUCUUGAUUUCAGCUCAGGUCAUGAUCUCGGGGUCAUGAGAUCAAGCCCUGCUGGCCUGGAGCCAGCUUAAAAUUCCCUCUCCCCCUCUGCACCUCUCCACCACUUG